AUGCUGGUAGUUAGUUUGUUAAACCAUUUUGUAUAUUAUGUUUUGUUUUUUUUUGUUACUGAUAUAAAUUUCCGUAAUGUUUGUUUCAUACUUUUGAAAAUUUUAUAUUGUUUAUAUGGUAUGGGUAACUACAUUGUUGUGCACAAAACUGACACAAACAAAGGAAGUUUCAGAGAUGCACUUCCGAAAUCACCUAUCAGUAUAUUUUGCAUGUGCAUCUCUGAAACUACCUUGAAAAAUUCAAAUCCAACAUUUAUGUUAUAA